rnacentral:rRNA from 1 species
GAUGAACGCUAGCGGCAGGCUUAACACAUGCAAGUCGAGGGGUAUAGUUCUUCGGAACUAGAGACCGGCGCACGGGUGCGUAACGCGUAUGCAAUCUACCUUUUGCAGAGGGAUAGCCCCAGAGAAAUUUGGAUUAAUACCUCAUAGUAUAGCAGUUUCGCAUGAAACCACUAUUAAAGUCACAACGGCAAAAGAUGAGCAUGCGUCCCAUUAGCUAGUUGGUAAGGUAACGGCUUACCAAGGCUACGAUGGGUAGGGGUCCUGAGAGGGAGAUCCCCCACACUGGUACUGAGACACGGACCAGACUCCUACGGGAGGCAGCAGUGAGGAAUAUUGGACAAUGGGCGCAAGCCUGAUCCAGCCAUGCCGCGUGCAGGAUGACGGUCCUAUGGAUUGUAAACUGCUUUUAUACAGGAAGAAACACUACUUCGUGAAGUAGCUUGACGGUACUGUAAGAAUAAGGAUCGGCUAACUCCGUGCCAGCACG